rnacentral:lncRNA from 1 species
UAUUGGUUUAAUGCAACAAGCUUGAAUGUUGGACCAAAUUCUUUAAAUACAAAGUUUAAUUUGAUGGAAGCAACAAAUCUCUUUGGAAUAGACUAAGCCAUCAAAAGUAAAAAAUUCACCAAGUAAUAUUAACUAUAGAAAUUAUCAACCAUUAAAACUACACUAUUGUGCAAUAUUUUUUUAAUUUGAUAUUAAUAAAGGAGUUCUAAUGUGGUUGUAAAUGUGCUUGAAUAUAGACUGUUGUUGGUUUCCAAGGAAGUUAUAGCAAACUAAAAGAUGUAUUG